UACGAAGGGGGCUAGCGUUGCUCGGAAUUACUGGGCGUAAAGGGCGCGUAGGCUGUCUUGUUAGUCGGGUGUGAAACCCCCGAGCUCAACCUGGGAACUGCACUCAAUACGGCAUGGCUUGAGGACGAGAGAGGGUGGUGGAACUCCCAGUGUAGAGGUGAAAUUCGUAGAUAUUGGGAAGAACACCAGUGGCGAAGGCGGCUACCUGGCUCGUUCCUGACGCUGAGGCGCGAAAGCGUGGGGAGCAAACGGG
rnacentral:rRNA from 1 species